rnacentral:rRNA from 1 species
UCAAGCUACUAAGGGCAUACGGUGGAUGCCUAGGCGCCAAGAGCCGAAGAAGGACGCGGUAAGCUGCGAAAAGCCACGGGGAACUGCAAGCAAGUAUUGAUCCGUGGAUAUCCGAAUGGGGAAACCCGGCCAUCGUCAUGGAUGGUCACCCGCAAGGGAGGGAACCUGGGGAACUGAAACAUCUAAGUACCCGGAGGAAGAGAAAUCAAACGAGAUGCCCACAGUAGCGGCGAGCGAAGAGGGCAGAGCCCAAACCGAGAAGCUCCGGCUUUUCGGGGUUGAGGACCGGCAGAAUCGAAGUCAGGCCUAGUUGAAUUACCUGGAAAGGUAAGCGAGAGAGGGUAAAAGCCCCGUAGACGAAAGGCAGAGCAGAGAGGCCGAGAUCCAGAGUACCACGAAGCACGAGGAAUUUUGUGGGAAGCAGGGGGGACCACCCUCCAAGGCUAAAAACUACUUGGCGACCGAUAGCGCAUAGUACCGUGAGGGAAAGGUGAAAAGAACCCCGGGAGGGGAGUGAAAUAGUACCUGAAACCGUAUGUCUACAAGCAGUCGAAGCGAAAGCGACGGCGUGCCUAUUGAAGAAUGAACCAACGAGUUAUCUGCACUAGCGAGGUUAAGUGGAAGACACGGAGCCGCAGCGAAAGCGAGUCUUAAGAGGGCGCUAGUUAGUGUAGGUAGACCCGAAACCGCAGUGAUCUACCCAUGUCCAGGUUGAAGCGCAGGUAAAAUUGCGUGGAGGACCGAACCGGUGAGCGUUGAAAAGCUUUCGGAUGAGAUGUGGGUAGGGGUGAAAUUCCAAUCGAACGCGGAGAUAGCUGGUUCUCCCCGAAAUAGCUUUAGGGCUAGCCUGAGGUAGUAAGUAUAGGCGGUAGAGCACUGAUCGGGCUAGGGGCCGUAAAGGUUACCGAACCCUGUCAAACUCCGAAUGGAUAUACUGUAGAGCCUUGGAGUCAGACUACGAGUGAUAAGAUCCGUGGUCAAAAGGGAAACAGCCCAGACCACCAGCUAAGGUCCCCAAUGUCGUACUAAGUGGAAAAGGAUGUGGGGUUUCAUAAACAACCAGGAUGUUGGCUCAGAAGCAGCCACCAUUUAAAGAGUGCGUAAUAGCUCACUGGUCGAGAGACCCUGCGCCGAAGAUUCCCGGGGCUAAAGUACGAAACCGAAGCUGUGGCUGUAUACGUAAAGUAUACGGGGUAGGGGAGCGUUCCCAUAGGGUAGAAGUCGAACUGGAAGGUUCGGUGGACUUGUGGGAAGUGAGAAUGUUGGUAUGAGUAGCGAAAAGAAAGGUGAGAAUCCUUUCCACCGAAAGCAUAAGGAUUCCUGAGCAACGAUCGUCGUCUCAGGGUAAGUCGGGACCUAAUCCGAGGCAGAGAGCGUAGGAGAUGGACAACUGGUUGAUAUUCCAGUACCGGUAGUAAUUGUUUGAGCAAUGGAGUGACACAGAAGGGCAGGCAAGCAUGCGAAUGGAAGAGCAUGUGUAAGCGUGUAGGGUGGUGCAUAGGCAAAUCCGUGCACUGAAAGCCUGAGGCGUGAUGCGGAGUGAGCAGAGAUGCGAGCGAAGUUGUUGACCCCACACUGUCGAGAAAAGCUUCUAGUGAGAGAGCUACCGCCCGUACCGUAAACCGACACAGGUAUGCGGGGAGAGAAUCCUAAGGUGCGCGGGAGAACCCUCGUUAAGGAACUCGGCAAAAUGUACCCGUAACUUCGGGAUAAGGGUAGCCACUGUUGUGAAGUCCCAUGCGGAUGGAGCAUAGAGUGGUCGCAGAGAAGAGGCCCAAGCGACUGUUUACCAUAAACACAGGUGCCUGCUAAAGCGAAAGCUGACGUAUAGGUGCUGACACCUGCCCAGUGCCGGAAGGUUAAGGAAGGAUGUUCGGAUUAGUCCAAAGCAUUCGACUGAAGCCCCGGUGAACGGCGGCCGUAACUAUAACGGUCCUAAGGUAGCGAAAUUCCUUGUCGGGUAAGUUCCGACCCGCACGAAAGGUGUAACGAUUUGGGCACUGUCUCAACGAGGGACCCGGUGAAAUUGAAAUACCUGUGAAGAUGCAGGUUACCCGCGACUGGACAGAAAGACCCCAUGGAGCUUUACUGUAACCUGACAUUGGGUUUUGAUACAUUACGUACAGGAUAGGUGGGAGGCUUGGAAAGUUGGACGCUAGUCUGACUGGAGCCGACGUUGGGAUACCACCCUUGUGUUAUUGAAAUUCUAACCGCGAGAGUAACGAAAUCCGGGACAGUGUCAGGCGGGCAGUUUGACUGGGGCGGUCGCCUCCGAAAG